AACGAACGCUGGCGGCAUGCCUAACACAUGCAAGUCGAACGCGUGUAGCAAUACACGAGUGGCGCACGGGUGAGUAACGCGUGGGAACCUGCCCAGUGGUAGGGAAUAACUGCGGGAAACUGCAGCUAAUACCCUAUACGCCCUACGGGGGAAAGUUUUUCGCCAUUGGAGGGGCCCGCGUCGGAUUAGCUAGUUGGUGAGGUAAGAGCUUACCAAGGCGACGAUCCGUAGCUGGUCUGAGAGGAUGAUCAGCCACACUGGGACUGAGACACGGCCCAGACUCCUACGGGAGGCAGCAGUGGGGAAUAUUGCACAAUGGGCGCAAGCCUGAUGCAGCAACGCCGCGCGAGGGACGACGGCCUUCGGGUUGUAAACCUCUUUUAGUAGGGAAGAAGCGAAAGUGACGGUACCUGCAGAAAAAGCACCGGCUAACUACGUGCCAGCAGCCGCGGUAAGAC
rnacentral:rRNA from 1 species